AAGAGAUGGCGACCGGCGCACGGGUGAGUAACACGUAUCCAACCUGCCGAUAACUCGGGGAUAGCCUUUCGAAAGAAAGAUUAAUACCCGAUGGUAUAAUAAAGCCGCAUGGUUUAAUUAUUAAAGAAUUUCGGUUAUCGAUGGGGAUGCGUUCCAUUAGGCAGUUGGUGAGGUAACGGCUCACCAAACCUUCGAUGGAUAGGGGUUCUGAGAGGAAGGUCCCCCACAUUGGAACUGAGACACGGUCCAA
rnacentral:rRNA from 1 species